rnacentral:sRNA from 1 species
UAAAAUUGAACCCAUCAAAUUAUAUACUUUAAACAUGUGCCAUGCUUUUUAUGUAUCAAUUAUACCUUAAUAAAGCAGUUUUUAAAACUUGAAUUUAUGGAAAUAAAAUGCCACAGAAGAGUUUUUGAAAGAGUGUUAUAAAUGCUUGACUACACCAUUAAUUAUGCUUAUGUUUGGAGAAGCUUGAUUUAAUACCUCUUAUAAGCAUGUCUGGACAAAAAUUAGCCAUGUUGUCAUGGACUGUAUAUGUCCCGAUGUUACCAAGGUUUCUUUCCAAAGUUAUUUUUUUAUAAAUUGAAAUAUGCCUUGACUAUGUGGAAAGUACUAUCCUUAUGAAAAGUUUCUUUUGUUUACAUUCUUACAAAUUUUUUCUUCUUUUAAAGUGUUAGUGACAAACAGUCUGCGGUAACUGAAUCCUCAGAGGGUACAGUAUCCUUAUUGAGGUGAAGUAAAUUGACAUUUUUCUUCUUUGUCUUUCAAAUCUUUGAUUGAAGCAAUUCAUGCAGACCUAAUAUAACUACCACAUAAAUGGUACAAUUGAAAGAAUAUCUCAGGGUCCUACUUAGCCCAACAGAUAUUCACGACUCUGAGACAUCUUGAAAUUCCAAACUGUAGAGACCUGCUCUGAGACUGGGUUGUUUCACAUUGUUUCUACAAAGCCAUUAUUGGAAUACACAUAUAGGGAGUUCUUGAGCUUAAAACAGAUGUUUAGUAAACACUUAUCUGUCAUAGAAACAAAGAUACGAUGCUGGGGCAGGAAGGGGAUGGGAAUUACAUUUCUAAUGAAUGCCCCAGUGCCAGUUUUAUGAAAGUUACUUGAAAAACUUUAUUUGAUCUAAUAGAAUCGCUGUGACAGACAAUAUGACCUGUCUCGAGGGCAGAAAGUCUGCAUGAAUGAUUUCUAACAUAGAGCAGUUGGGAUCACAAGUGGAACCAUGGGAGGAGGUGGCUGACUUCAUGUGGAGGAGGUGAUUGGACAUGAGGAAUUGAGAGGCCAAGAUGGUAUAUGAAUUGUCUGUGAGAACACUGAAAUAAUUCAGAAUAGCAGCACUUAGGUGUAGAGAAAGAUCUGUGAAUGAUGAAGAAGUGCUUGGAAGGAUGGUAAAUGGCUGUGAAGAAUGAUCGAAGGUGAUAUAUCCCAGUGGCAUGAAUCCUCAAGGCUGAAGUUUCUAUGGAAGCAGGAUCUUGAAAGUGGCAUUCAUUAGGAAAUGAAAACUGCUGUCUCUGGAGUCCUAUAGUUUAUGGAGGGUGGAAGAUUAAGCCAAUCUCUACUUGAGAAGGCUACCAAGGAGAGAAACAUUGCCCCCAGGGGAAAGCUAGAUUUUAGACAAGGCAAAGAGCAGAGAGGAAUGGGUGAAGAGAUUGAGAAUGACAUUCCAGAAAGGACAAUAGAAAGUCUUGGGAAGGAGGGACAGAGGGGAAGAGAGAAAGGAUAGCUGGUCACCUAGAGUAUCUAUAGGGAUAAAAGUAUAGCUAAAAUAACCUACAUUUUAGGUGGAGAUAAUACAGCUGCCUAAGCUUAGGUGAACUGCUUUUUGAAUCUUAGUUUGCUCCUUCAUAAAAUUGGAUUAAUAUAAUACCAAUUUGGCAGGGUUUUCAAAAAAAAUGAUGCCAUGUCCUGUGUUUCCAAACAGCCUUACCUUUCAAAAGUCUUUUUGGAAGCUGUAAAGAUAAUCAAGUGAUACCUGCCAUUAUGUAAAGGAAUUUUGGAAUCCGUCUUUGGGGAAAUAAAAGCCAUAACAGAGAAUGAAAGCUAAUACUUUGUAGUUUAAGGAUUUUUUUCCUUGAUGUAUCUAAUUGGAAGGCCGAAAGAGUCUUGUCUUUUUUCUUUUUUUGCCUGCUUCUUCUGAGACAUCAAAAAACAUCUUGAUUUCUGCGGAGUAGAUGAGAUGGAGAAAGAUGAGAGAGGCAACAGAAAUCUUAAGAGGCCACAGGUUAAGAUGGGGCACUAAGCAGGGAGAGCACCAAAGGAAAUAGGCCGAAGUAUUAAUAGAAGAUCCUAGAACAGAUUAAGGCAAAUCAUUUACCUUUUUUCCAUUGCUUUACUAAUCUUUCUGGAGCCAAUUAUAAACUUUCAUAUUUUAUUUUAGGUCUCACAAGAAUCUUUUCUUACCUAAGUUGCAACAUGGAACCGAGCAACAAGACCUUAAUAAGAAAGAAAGAAGAGUAGGAACUCUUCAAAGUACAAAAAAGAAAAAAGAAAGCAGAAGAGCCACUGAAAGCAGAAUACCUGUUUCAAAGAGUCAACUGGUAACUCCUGAAAAACAUCGAGCUAGAAAAAGACAGGCAUGGCUUUGGGAAGAAGACAAGAAUUUGAGAUCUGGUGUGAGGAAAUAUGGAGAGGGAAACUGGUCUAAAAUACUGUUGCAUUAUAAAUUCAACAACCGGACAAGUGUCAUGUUAAAAGACAGAUGGAGGACCAUGAAGAAACUAAAACUGAUUUGCUCAGACAGCGAAGACUGAUUGUGUUUGUAAAAGCUUGAUGAAAGGACAGUUAAGUAUUUUAAUCACUGCAUUUUGUUUGAAACUUGUGUCAUUGAUGUAAUUUAAAACUUUUGUUUAAAGCAUUACAGUAUUUUUCUGUGACCAUCAAUUAAUAUGAGGGUUUGUGCUAUAAGAGUUAAAGCAUAUGCUAUCAUUGUAUUCUUUAAGAACCUUAUUUUGAUAAAAUGUAAAUUUGUUGAACCCUGCCACAUUUAGUAUCCCCACCCCCAAAUCCUGUUCCAAUGAAAAAAUUAAAACCUAGUACGAAAAAAAAAAAAAAUUUCAGUUAACCUAUUUUGUGUCCUGUAGGCUGACCUCAACCCUGUAACGUAACCCAUUAAAUGAAUUUUCUUUUUUUUGAGACAGCGUUUCUCUCUGUUGCCCAGGCUGGAGUGCAAGUGUGCAAUUUCAGCUCACUGCAACCUCUGCCUCCCAGGUUCAAGCGAUUCUCCUGCCUCAGCCUCCUGAAUAGCUGGGAUUACAGGCACACACCACCACGCCCAGCUAAUUUUUGUAUUUUUAGUAGAGGUAGGGUUUCACCAUGCUGGUCAGGGUGGUCUCCAACUCCUGACUUCAUGAUCCACCCACCUCGGCCUCCCAAAGUGCUGAGAUUACAGACAUGAGCCACUGCGUCCUGCCUAAAAUGAAUUUUCCAGAUGAUUGAAUAACAGUAGUCCUUUGAUAGGAGAUAAUGACUUGGUUUAUGGCCUUAAUAUACUACUUAAUUACUUAAGAUGUUUAUUAAUAGAAUGAUAAAUGUACAGAGUAACCUAUAAGCAUGACAUACUUUUGCUUUCAGUAGUUUCAUGUAAAGAAAAAA